AAAUUGAAAAUUCAGUAUUAUUAAAAGUACUCUAGAAUCUCUCACCCAGAAUAUGAGGAAGUUGAUUGAACAGAGUGAACAGCGGGGAUAGGAUAGCUUAAACAGAUUUUCUUGGAGAGUGAGAAAGGAGAGGUUGGAGCUACCUCCUUCACACUGCGGUGAUGAAAACUCCCAGGGAUUCCCUUAAGCUUUUGAAACACAUGGUCUUCGUUUAGAGGACCCAGAAGUCUGUUUCUUUGACUCGUGCCUAACAGAGCUAAAGCUGCAACUAAAAACUGGACAGAGUUGGCUGUAUAGAGAACGGCUUCUCAGAUAGUUUUGAGAUGAAGGUUAUAGAAGUAACCUUCUGUAAAUGCGAACCAUUUGCGAGACAAAGCCGGACUGAAACCAUUUGACAUCUUGGACACAAGACUGUGACUGUGGAACAAGAGGGUGGCCAGAUAAACCAAGCUAUCAAGAUAGAGACUCAAGAUUAUGUAUAUUUUAAGCCAAGGUAGCUUUACACAGUCCAAAAAAUGUCUUUGAGUUGGAAAGAAAAAGAAAAGAAAAAGGAUUCUU
rnacentral:lncRNA from 1 species